rnacentral:rRNA from 1 species
UACGUAGGGUGCGAGCGUUGUCCGGAAUUAUUGGGCGUAAAGAGCUCGUAGGCGGUCUGUCGCGUCGGUCGUGAAAACUUGGGGCUUAACCCUGAGCUUGCGGUCGAUACGGGCAUGACUGGAGUUCGGUAGGGGAGACUGGAAUUCCUGGUGUAGCGGUGGAAUGCGUAGAGAUCGGGAAGAACAUCAGUGGCGAAGGCGGUCUGCUGGGCCGUUGCUGACGCUGAGGCGCGACAGCGUGGGGAGCAAACAGG